CCCUAGUCUGCCGCAAAAAGGACCAGAGCCCUAGGCCACUCUGGGCCUCUGCCACCUCCAGUCCUUAACUAAGGACCCUCUCAGGGUGCAGGAGGAAGGUCCUGGAGCCCAUCCAAGCCAGCACCCCGUCUCCACUGGCCUCAUUAUUAUCUGGAUCCUGCCAUCACAGGACUCCUCCAAGGAUGAUUCUGGAGGAUCUGCUGAUGGUCCUCAGUUGCCUCGGCCUGCACACCCUUUGGAAGGUCCAAGCUGUUCCGAUCCUGCCCCUGAGCCUGGUUCCAGACACCUUCGAUGAUGCCUACGUGGGUUGCUCCGAGGAGAUGGAGGAGAAAGCAGGCCUGCUGCUAAAGGAGGAGAUGGCCCGCCAUGCCCUGCUCCGGGAAUCCUGGGAAGCAGCCCGAGAGGCCUGGGAACACCGGCGGCACACGCUCACUCUACCUCCUGGCUUCAAAGCCCAGCACGGAAUAGCUAUUAUGGUGUACACCAACUCAUCCAACACCUUGUACUGGGAGCUGAACCAGGCUGUGCGGACAGGGGGCGGCUCCCGGGAGCUCUACAUGAGGCACUUCCCCUUCAAGGCCCUGCAUUUCUACCUGACCCGGGCCCUGCAGCUGCUUCGGGGCACCCGAGGCUGCUAUAGGGAAGAUGGGGAGGUGGUGUUCCGAGGCGUGGGCAGCCUUCACUUUGAACCCAAGAGGCUAGGGGACUCUGUCCGGUUAGGACAGUUUGCCUCCAGCUCUCUGGAUGAAACAGUGGCUCGUGGGUUUGGUAAUGCCACUUUCUUCAAUCUAAGGACUUGUUUUGGGGCUCUUAUCCAGGCUUUGUCUGUCUUCCCUGAGGAGCGUGAGGUGCUGAUCCCCCCACAUGAAGUCUUCUUGGUCACUGGGUUCUUCCAGCAUGGAGCCCAGAGCAUAGUAACUCUCUGGAGUUAUAACCAGACCUGCAGCCACUUUAACUGCGCCUAUUUGGGUGGUGAGCGAUGCAUGGGCGACAGAGAAUGGCAGGGUGGGUGAAAGCCAGCAUGUCCUGACCCAGGCCCCAGAGACUUCAGGAGACUCGAUUCGUUAGCGAGCCUGAGGUUCUGCCAGGUCCUGUGACCUGUGGACAUUCAAGAUCUGUGGAUAUUCUCAGAUGACUAUCUUCUCCAAAGGGUAGACCAAGGAACCGAGUGAAGGAGGCCAGUCUCAGCAGGCCCUGGUUUGAUGGGGCGAACAGGACUGGACUGUGCCAAGUCCAGUAGGGAGGCAGGAAGAGAAUGGAAGAGUGAUGGGGUGUGGGGAGGAGCAAGGAUGGCUAGGCCAUCUGGAAAGGUGACCUCGGGAAGAAGCUGAAAGGAAGUGAGUAGUCUGCUUUGAGGUGAAGGAGCAGACAGACAAAGGGGGAUGGCCAGAGGCAAGACGUUUGGGACGAGAGUCGCCUCAGGGCCUUACUGUGCUAUCUGUUGCAGGGGAGAAGAGGCAUGGCUGUGUGUCCUCAACAGCAGGAGGGCAGCCAGAGUCAUCCUCCACAGAGGCCUUGGCUCUGCAAUCAGGGAAGACGCUGCUCUUGGCCCCUGGGGAGUUGCAGCUCUCGAGAACUGGACC